CCGCUGCUGGUGGGGCCGCAGCGGCUGCAGGUGCUGAACGCCUCCCACGAGGACGCGGGGGCCUACAGCUGCCGGCAGCGGCUCACCCAGCGCGAGCUGUGCCGCUUCAGCGUGCGGGUGACAGAUGCCCCGUCCUCGGGAGACGACGAAGAUGGGGAGGACGAGGCAGAGGACACAGGAGGGGCCCCC